AUUGCCUACAGAGAAAUUGAUUGCGGUUACUACGGCAAAAAUCCCCAAAUCAAUUCGACAAGAGAGAAUCCCUAAACCUAACUCCCAAGACGACGUCGCCGCUCGCACUACCGUAGCCGCCGGGAAACCUCUGUCGAGUUACUAAAGAGAAGGCAAAUCCCUGUGAGUGAGUUGUGGGCAAUUACAUGCAAGCCACAGAGGAGAUAUUAUGGGGUGAUUUAGUGUGAAUUGCUUAUUGGAUGGUGACUAUUUUAUUUUUUCUCCCUUAAUUACAACAAAAUAUGUAUUUAAACAUUUAUCACAACAAUUGUACACCAAAUAAUAUAUGUGCCCAACAAUUUUCUCAAAUUACUAACCAAAAUAAAAUUUGAAAAUUUCAUAAA